UCCUGGAUAGCUCAGUCGGUACAGCAUGAGACUCUUAAUCUCAGCAUUGUGGGUUCAAGCCCCACGUUGGGCA